rnacentral:tRNA from 1 species
GGCCGCUCGCUAGCUCAGUUGGUGAGAAGCGCUGCCGUUGACACGGCAGAUCAAGGGUUCAAAUCCCUCAGUGGUCA